GGAAACAGGGAAGCUAGAAGACAUAUACAGUGAGUAAUGCUGUCAAAUUACAUAAGUGUUUUAGAAAGCAACCUGGCCAUAUGUCAGAGCCAUAGGAAUAAUGAAGUCAAGGAACAUACUUUUUGUGGUGUGUUUUAUUUGUGUGUGUGUG